rnacentral:rRNA from 1 species
ACGUAGGGAGCGAGCGUUGUCCGGAAUUACUGGGCGUAAAGGGUGCGUAGGCGGUUUUUUAAGUCAGAUGUGAAAUACCCGGGCUUAACCCGGGGGGUGCAUUUGAAACUGGAAGACUUGAGUGCAGGAGAGGUAAAUGGAAUUCCUAGUGUAGCGGUGAAAUGCGCAGAUAUUAGGAGGAACACCGGUGGCGAAGGCGAUUUACUGGACUGUAACUGACGCUGAGGCACGAAAGCGUGGGGAGCAAACAG